GGAGAGAUGGCUCAGCAGUUAAGGGCUCUGGCUGGUCUUCCAGAGGCUCUGGGUUUGAUUCUCAGUAUCCUCA
rnacentral:tRNA from 1 species